CCUCAUAGCCUCCAGUCCUGCUGAGUCUUCCCCAGCCUGUGCCCUCCUCCAGAUACUCCCCAGCACGUGAUAGUGAGCUUCUUCAAGGCAAGUACACUGUCUUGCCCAGAUCUGUAUUUUCACUUGGGACUAGAGUCUGGCAAGGUAUUGGACUGAACUCAAGAAUGAGCAGUGUGACCUUGGGCAGGAUCUUUAGUCCAUGGCUCUGAGCUUCAACAUGGUAAGAAUCAAAUAAAGUAUGUUAAAAAAGGAGAAAUGCUCUAGAGCUGCAGUGUUUACUAAGAUAGCCACUAGCUACAUGAGGACAUUUAAAUUUAAAUGAAUUAAAAGUAAAUAAAUGUAAACAUUAACUUGCUAAUGUACUUGGGUUGCAUAGAACAUUGCAUUGGGCUUUUCCAUUCUGGCAGAGAGCUCGGUGGACAGCCCUGCUCUAGGAAGUCGCAAGUGUGUUUCUCCCAUGCAUGGAUUUGUUGGUUCAU
rnacentral:lncRNA from 10 species